AUUGAACGCUGGCGGCAGGCCUAACACAUGCAAGUCGAACGAGUGGCGGACGGGUGAGUAAUGUCUGGGAAACUGCCUGAUGGAGGGGGAUAACUACGAGAAACGGUAGCUAAUACCGCAUACCAUCGGAUGUGCCCAGAUGGGAUGAGCUAGUAGGGGGGGUAACGGCUCACCUAGGCGACGAUCCCUAGCUGGUCUGAGAGGAUGACCAGCCACACUGGAACUGAGACACGGUCCAGACCCCUACGGGAGGCAGCCGGGGGGAAUUUUUGACAAGGGGCGCAAGCCUGAUGCAGCCAUACCGGGUGUAUGAAGAAGGCCUUCGGGUUGUAAAGUACUUUUCGAGGGGAAGCGUUACCCGCAGAAGAAGCACCGGCUAACUACGUGCCAGCAGGCGCGGUAAUUC
rnacentral:rRNA from 1 species